GUGGAUCCAAUUUUCAUUACUAUAUUUAAAAAGGUAAAUUCAUGUAAGAGAAAAUAAAUUAAUUGAAACAAAGCUGAAAUCUUUUUUUCAAGGAAAUAACCUUAAUAUAUACGAAACAAUUAUAAAUAUAUAAAAAAGCCGAAUCCUCUUAAAACAAAACAAAGGGCACCAAGUCCUGAGCACUGGUAACUUUGUCUUGCCAAAAGUAGAGCACGCAUCAUGACCAUCCUUAAUUCCCCCAAAUUAUCAGCAGAAGAUAAUUACUUAAUUUAAUUAAUCAAAAUAUUCAAGUCCACAAAUCAAAACAUUACACAGAAUCAAAACAUUACACAGA
rnacentral:misc_RNA from 1 species